UGAUUCUUACAACUUCCAAUUCAAAGGUUUUUUAUUACACAAUCUUUUUCUCUUGCCUCUGACUAUAAAAAAGUGAUCUUCUUUAUGGAUUCGUGAUAGUUUAGUCCAAGAUAUUCUCUUGAGAUGUUGAUUUUGUGUUUGUGAUCAUGUUUCGAGAGAGAUUGUUGGACCCAAGAGAAGCAAGCAUGAUUAAGCUGGAAGCAAUAAAAACUUAACGGAGACGUGUAUGUGGGAUAUCACAAUGUUGAAGGUGAUUCUUAGAUGCAUCAACGUGGUUAGCUCCAACACGAUCGUAGCCAGUUGAUUGGUAGCCUUGAGGUGUCAAUCGAUACAAAGCUUCAAACAUCCACUAUGAAGAUUGACAGUGUUUAUUUUGGCCACCAUCUCUCUCUAACAAUCAUGAUUUUGAACUGGCAGGAGAAGUUAAUCCGAGUUCACAUUGAUCGAGUAAAGGGCAUCUGAAGUACUUCUACAAUCCUAUGUAUACACAUUAAAAGUUGGUUAGUAUCAGUUUGAGUGGUACUUUAUCAGUGGCUCUUCUCUGGGACCCAUGCAACAGACCGACCGCUGCAGAGGCUCUGUACGUCCCGUUCUUUCAGAUUCAACCGCAAGUGUGGCCAGAGAUAGUCCCCCUGAAACGAGGAUACCAAUGGGAUAAAGUGUUGUAGUCGGAUUUUUUGAAUACCUUAAGUUGAGCAGCGGUAUGAACUAAAGCAGAGUGAUCUGUGGCCACUACAUCUUGAAGAAUAAAAAUGGAAGGAGUGAGGCCAAAAAGAAAAUGAAAAGACAUGCGAGUGAGUGAGGGAGAGAGGGAGAGAGAGAGAGGGAGAGAGGUGAGUGCAGGUAAAAAGUAAAAUCAUGUUGUGAACAUUAAUCUAAAAAGUAAAAUCAUGCUGUGAACAUUAAUCUGCAUCGAAGUUAAUUUAACUGCUUCCACCGUAAUAUUUUAUUUUUCUUUUGCGUUGGUUUUAUUCUGGAUGAAGAAUAGAAAGAUUAAUCAAGUGUUGUGAUGCAGACGUAGCUAUCAUUGGAUAACUAUUUACUUCAGGUUUGGAAGAUCACCAUGAGGAAUUUCCCCUGAGAAGUUGUUUGCAGGGUUCAAGACUCUUAAGUCUGGCCAAACUUGAAAGAGAAGCUGCGAUGCUUCCCCUGAGUUUUUUAAAUAUCAAGAACCUUAAGAUUCUUUAACUCAUGGAAAAUCGCUGGUAAUGGACCCGGAAAGUGAUUAAGUGUAAGAUAGAGAUGAGUCAGGUUCUUGAGGUUGAUGAUAGAAAAUGGCCUUUGUUUCUAUCUGUAACAAAUAAUUCUUUAGCUGGAGAAUAUUUGCUGAUAAAAUAUGUGUUGUGUUGUGAAACUGGAAAGAUACGCGGGCAAUGUAUAGCCGGUAAAAAAUAUAUGUUUUACA